rnacentral:rRNA from 1 species
GAUCAUGGCUCAGGAUGAACGCUGGCGGCGUGCCUAAUACAUGCAAGUCGUACGAGGGAAGUCCAGCUUGCUGGAUAGAACGAGUGGCGAACGGGUGAGUAAUACGUAAGCAACCUGCCUGCAAGGACUGGGAUAACACCUGGAAACGGGCGCUAAUACCGGAUAGGUAACAAAGGGGCAUCCCUAUGUUAUUAAAGGUUAGAAACACAAGCAGAUGGGCUUACGGUGCAUUAGCUAGUUGGUGAGGUAACGGCCCACCAAGGCGAUGAUGCAUAGCCGGCCUGAGAGGGUGAACGGCCACAUUGGGACUGAGACACGGCCCAGACUCCUACGGGAGGCAGCAGUAGGGAAUUUUCGGCAAUGGACGAAAGUCUGACCGAGCAACGCCGCGUGAGUGAAGAAGGUUUUCGGAUUGUAAAGCUCUGUUGUAAGGGAAGAACAGCACGGAAAGAAUCCGUGAAUGACGGUACCUUACCAGAAAGCCACGGCUAACUACGUGCCAGCAGCCGC